GUCUGGUAGACACGGAUGCCGCAUGGGCGUCUGGUAGACACGGAUGCCGCAUGGGCGUCUGGUAGACACGGAUGCCAUAUGGGGGUCUAAUGGACACAGAUGCCAUAUGGGUGUCUGGUAGACACGGAUGCCACAUGGGCGUCUGGUAGACACGGAUGCCAUAUGGGCGUCUGGUAGACACGGAUGCCACAUACGGCGUCUGGUAGACACGGAUGCCACAUGGGCGUCUGGUAGACACGGAUGCCACAUGGGCGUCUGGUAGACACGGAUGCCACAUGGGCGUCUGGUAGACACGGAUGCCAUAUGGGGGUCUAAUGGACACAGAUGCCAUAUGGGUGUCUGGUAGACACGGAUGCCACAUGGGCGUCUGGUAGACACGGAUGCCACAUACGGGUCUAGUAGGACAGCGGGACCCGCAGGGAGCGUGGUGACAGAGACCGUGGUGACCGGGACCGUGUGCAGGGACCUGCCCUCCUGCUGCUGCAUAAACGUUCGGGGGUUGGGGGGCUCCAGAACGGGGGCACCAGGUGCUCAGGAAGACCCGGCGGAGCCUUCGCCUCCCAGGCCCAGGGGCUGUCCUCUUUGUCAGCCGGGGGUCAUCACAGCCAGGGGGCUCUCCCCCGCCAGAGCCAGAGUCCAGAACGUGCUCCAGAAGCCGCGACAUGUCUGGUGCCCCGGGACUGUCUCUGGUGUCCGCAGCUCUCGUUUGGGGAGAAAAGGAUUUCUCUGCUGAAUGCUCUUCCCCCACAUUAAAAUCCAGGCUGUUGAUCUGAUUCUUAGCACCAUGAUUUUAUACACUGUGUUUUCUUAAAAGAGAAAAAAGGGAUUUUUGUAUCCUGAAAAAAAGCAUCAUCUUGCUUUUGUAAAAUCUAUAAAAGAGCCUGUGAUUUCUUUUUUGUUCCGCAUGGUUUAUUGAGCUAUGAGGCUGGAGUUUCUUUCUGACAGUUUAAUAUCGAGUGACAGCCGAGGCUGCCUCUGAGAGAUGCUCUUUCUGAACAAAUGAAAAAAUACACUUUUCCAGAUUUAGAUAAAGGUGAAGGUUGUUUGGGG
rnacentral:lncRNA from 1 species